CCCAUUUAAGAGCUGACUAUCAGUGGGAAAGGAUCUCAUCUGGAGAUCCCUCCUCUGGAGUUCUGCAGUAAGCCCAGGAUGCAGAGCUUCUGCCUCUGAGCCUGUCAAACCUGACUUUGAGAAAAAUCUCUUGUCAACUGGGAGGGCAUUGUAGGGGAGUGGAAAUGCACAGAUGUGUGUUUGUGGAGAUGAUGGCAGAAGUCCUCAUCUGCAAGAAGGCCAAAGUGCACCUCCUGUCUGUCUUAAUAUUUCACUGGAGACCAAAUAUACAGCAACAACAGAAUCAGUAGCAACUAUAUCAAAGCAGAAAAUGUGCUGUAAAACAGAAACAAAUUAAAAACAAAGAAACAAGAGAAACCAACAGAAACCACCAUCACCUCAAGAAGUACCUUUCUCAUUUGAUUUUGAGAAACAAAAGACCAACCAUUUUCUCUUCCAUUCAAAUACUGCUCUGGAUAUAAUGCAAAAUUUGAAUAGAAGAACAAUUUCAUCUUCCAGGAUACUUCAUUGCACUGUGCCAGAUUUUAUAGUGAUAUCUGGAGAAGACACACAGAAAACACUCAGUAUAGUACUGAUUCUGUCCAGACCAUAUGGCCUUCUCAAGGGUAGAAUCCUCUUAAAAUAUAGUGAAGAAACACCAGAGACAUCAGAGAAACUUCUCAGUAUAUAUGGGUAAAAUCUCAUUGAAACUUCUGCCAAUUAAUCCCAAAUCCAUAAUCUGAUCUCAGGUACCUAAUAAUGAAAUUACUGACUGCAAAGGAAAUGCUAAGUCACGGCUUGAACCAGUGAUUGAGCACCUGAUGGCAAGGCAGGGCCAACCCAGGGGAGCUCAGGUGUGUGCAAUGUACCUGAGUGACCAGAAGGGGUGGAGCCAGGAUCCACCCCAUCCCAGGCCUCACUUAAGGGUUGGCAGUGGAGGCAAGGGUAUCUUACUGGAGAGGUCUGCUUACCUGAGGCCUUCUAAAGUUUGCAGCAGAAGAGUGAAAGUCAAGAGCAAUGAGCACGUGACCAGAGCUGGGUCUUUUUAAGUUCAUCCCAAACUGGUGCAUGGGAAUUUGAGUCUUUAACUGCCAAGUUGAAGAUCUCCCUCAGAUUCACCUUUCAAGAGCAUCUGGCAGAGCUGAGAUCCAUCUACAGGACUCUGAAAACACAAGAAGCCCUCUAGGACAAUCAGUCCUUCUCAGUGCUGGUAGAGAAGCCCAUCGCUGCAUAUUUUCCAAAGGUAUAUUUAACCCAAUUCUGAAAGAGGAGGACAGUAAACCAGCCCAUCAUUCCUUGCUGUCAAUUCACUGACUAUCAGCCAACUGUCACAGGCUGCACCUGCAUCUCCUCACCUCAGUGAAGACUCACUCAUUGUGAAACCACUAACUGGAUCACAUUCUUCCUCCACAAUGAGGUCACAGGAUUUUAGAAGACAGAGGAAGGUUUAAGGUUAACCAAGAAGUUUACAAAUAAUGAGGCAGUCCAGUGAAAAGACACUCUGGCCUCCUAUAAGUGGGGGACAUUGAAGAUCAGGCUCCUGCGUGGGUAGCUGGGAAUACCCCACUGAAGACGUGCUGUCCCAGUGUGGGGAUGAACAGGCUCAAGCUGCGGGUUGUCUCCUGCACAGCUCUCAGAGCCAUCUGCUCUGAAUUAGACGGGAUUAAAGGCACAGCGUGGGCAAAUCCCUUCUGUCUGUUUGUGCAACACAGGUUUAUCCCAUGUGAAAUAAGGCUUAGAGGCAAGGGCUGCCUUUCUCACAUGCAAGGGAAGGUAGUUAACAACCAGAGCUUCUAAUGCUAGAUAAAAGAACACAACCCUGUAAGUGAGAUAUGGCACUUCAGCGGGUCUUUGUUUUGAUAGCCUCUGUACAGAACAAAACAAGACAGAGCAGGCAGCAAAGGCUCCAUGUGAGAUUCUCUGCAGGCAAAGAAAGUCACAGGCAGGAAAAAUACAAUCCAUACAAAUAGCACUGGAUUCACAAUCACUCUGUGGAGUGAAAAGGUAUGCAAGGGGAACAGGGAAAUCUGAGAUCAUCAC